rnacentral:rRNA from 1 species
AAGGGAUAUUGCACAAUGGGCGCAAGCCUGAUGCAGCAACGCCGCGUGCACGAGGAAGGCCUUCGGGUCGUAAAGUGCUUUCUGGGAGAAGAGGAAGGACGGUACCCCCAGGAAUAAGUGUCGGCUAACUACGUGCCAGCAGCCGCGGUAAAACGUAGGACGCGAGCGUUAUCCGGAGUUACUGGGACGUAAAGGGCGGGUAGGCGGCUAGUCAAGUUGGAUGUGAAAUCUCCUGGCUAAACUGGGAGGGUGCAUUCGAAACUGAGUAGCUAGAGGACAGCAGAGGGUCGUGGAAUUCCGGGUGGAGUGGUGAAAUGCGUAGAGAUCCGGAGGAACACCAGAGGCGAAAGCGGCGACCUGGGCUGUAACUGACGCUGAACCGCGAAAGCCGAGGGGAGCGAACGGGAUUAACGAAACCCCGGUAGUCCUGGCCGUAAACGAUGCCAACUGGGCGUUGGUGGUGAGAGCCAUCAGCGUCGGAGACAAACGCGGUAAGUUGGCCGCCGUGGGGAGUACGACCGCAAAGGUUA